rnacentral:rRNA from 1 species
UACGUAGGUCCCGAGCGUUGUCCGGAUUUAUUGGGCGUAAAGCGAGCGCAGGUGGUUUAUUAAGUCUGGUGUAAAAGGCAGUGGCUCAACCAUUGUAUGCAUUGGAAACUGGGAGACUUGAGUGCAGAAGAGGAGAGUGGAAUUCCAUGUGUAGCGGUGGAAUGCGUAGAUAUAUGGAGGAACACCGGUGGCGAAAGCGGCUCUCUGGUCUGUAACUGACGCUGAGGCUCGAAAGCGUGGGUAGCGAACAGG